UACGAAGGGGGCUAGCGUUGCUCGGAAUCACUGGGCGUAAAGGGUGCGUAGGCGGGUUUUUAAGUCAGAGGUGAAAUCCUGGAGCUCAACUCCAGAACUGCCUUUGAUACUGCAAGUCUUGAGUAUGGGAGAGGUGAGUGGAACUGCGAGUGUAGAGGUGAAAUUCGUAGAUAUUCGCAAGAACACCAGUGGCGAAGGCGGCUCACUGGCCCAUAACUGACGCUGAGGCACGAAAGCGUGGGGAGCAAACAGG
rnacentral:rRNA from 1 species